GACGAACGCUGGCGGCGUGCUUAACACAUGCAAGUCGAACGGUGAAGCCCAGCUUGCUGGGUGGAUCAGUGGCGAACGGGUGAGUAACACGUGAGUAACCUGCCCCUGACUUUGGGAUAACUCCGGGAAACCGGGGCUAAUACCGGAUAUGAGCUCUUGCUGCAUGGUGAGGGUUGGAAAGAUUUAUCGGUUGGGGAUGGGCUCGCGGCCUAUCAGCUUGUUGGUGGGGUGAUGGCCUACCAAGGCGACGACGGGUAGCCGGCCUGAGAGGGCGACCGGCCACACUGGGACUGAGACACGGCCCAGACUCCUACGGGAGGCAGCAGUGGGGAAUAUUGCACAAUGGGCGCAAGCCUGAUGCAGCGACGCCGCGUGAGGGAUGACGGCCUUCGGGUUGUAAACCUCUUUCAGCAGGGAAGAAGCGCAAGUGACGGUACCUGCAGAAGAAGCGCCGGCUAACUACGUGCCAGCAGCCGCCGUAACAC
rnacentral:rRNA from 1 species